rnacentral:rRNA from 1 species
CGGGCCUCUUGCCAUCGGAUGUGCCCAGAUGGGAUUAGCUAGUAGGUGGGGUAACGGCUCACCUAGGCGACGAUCCCUAGCUGGUCUGAGAGGAUGACCAGCCACACUGGAACUGAGACACGGUCCAGACUCCUACGGGAGGCAGCAGUGGGGAAUAUUGCACAAUGGGCGCAAGCCUGAUGCAGCCAUGCCGCGUGUAUGAAGAAGGCCUUCGGGUUGUAAAGUACUUUCAGCGGGGAGGAAGGGAGUAAAGUUAA